rnacentral:tRNA from 1 species
GCGCGUGUAGCUCAGUUGGUUAGAGCAUCUGACUUUUAAUCAGGUGGUCGAAGGUUCGAGUCCUUCUACGCGCA